rnacentral:rRNA from 1 species
GAGAUGUGUGAUGACGCAUAUCAAUAAGCGGAGGAAAAGAAACUAACUAGGAUUCCCUCAGUAACGGCGAGUGAAGCGGGAAGAGCUCAAAUUUGAAAUCUUCAAGGUUCUACCUUGACGAAUUGUAGUUUAUAGAAGUGUUUUCUGUUAGUAGAGUUUGGUAAAAGUUCUUUGGAAUAGGACAUCAUAGAGGGUGAGAAUCCCGUAUUUGAUCCAUUAUUUCCAGCUUUGUGAUACACUUUCAAAGAGUCGGAUUGUUUGGGAAUGCAGUCCAAAAUGGGUGGUAAAUUUCAUCUAAAGCUAAAUAUUGGCGAGAGACCGAUAGCGAACAAGUACCGUGAGGGAAAGAUGAAAAGAACUUUGAAAAGAGAGUUAAACAGUACGUGAAAUUGUCAAAAGGGAAGCGUUUGACACCAGUGUUGUUUUCUCGAAAAUCAAUUAAGAAGUAUGGAUUUGUAUUGUUGAGGAGCCUUAUGCGACUUAUCGGUAGCUCUUUUCUUAUGAACUUUUUAAUGCACUUUUCGGUUAACAAGUCAACAUCAAUUUCUUUUGUUGUAAAAGAGUCAUGAGGAAGGUGGCUUUCACUUCGGUGAAAGUGUUUAUAGCCUUUGGCUUCUGCAAUCGGAGAGAUUGAGGUCUGCAGCGUAGAUCCUUCGGGGUUAGAUACGUAGAUGCUAAGUUAUAGUUUUUCAUAGACAACUUGUUGACUAUGAUUAAUCAUGUAGCUUACUCGUUUGCGCUAUUUUACCUACGCUUAGGAUGUUGAGUCGUAGAGCACGCAG